rnacentral:rRNA from 1 species
CCUACGGGGGGCAGCAGUGAGGAAUAUUGGUCAAUGGACGAGAGUCUGAACCAGCCAAGUAGCGUGAAGGAUGAAUGCCCAAUGGGUUGUAAACUUCGUUUAUAAAGGAAUAAAACGAGGCACGUGUGCCUUUUUGCAUGUACUUGAUGAAUAAGGAUCGGCUAACUCCGUGCCAGCAGCCGCGGUAAUACGGAGGAUCCGAGCGUUAUCCGGAUUUAUUGGGUUUAAAGGGAGCGUAGAUGGGUUGUUAAGUCAGUUGUGAAAGUUUGCGGCUCAACCGUAAAAUUGCCAUUGAUACUGGCAGUCUUGAGUACAGUUGAGGUAGGCGGAAUUCGUGGUGUAGCG